rnacentral:rRNA from 1 species
GAUCAUGGCUCAGGAUGAACGCUAGCUACAGGCUUAACACAUGCAAGUCGAGGGGCAGCAUGAAAGGAACUUCGGUUCUUUUUGAUGGCGACCGGCGCACGGGUGCGUAACGCGUAUCGAACCUGCCUCAUACUCGGGGAUAGCCUUGCGAAAGUAAGAUUAAUACCCGGCGGUCUCGGAUGGCCGCAUGACUAUCCGAGUGAAGAUUUAUCGGUAUGAGAUGGCGAUGUGU